GCCUGACUGGCUCAGUCAGAAGAGUAUGUGACUCUUGAUCUCAAGGUUGUGAGUUGAGUCCCAUGUUGGGUG
rnacentral:tRNA from 1 species